CCUGACUGCUAUCGGAUUGAUACUAAGCCAUGCGAGUCUUUGUAGUAAUACAAGGCAGACGGCUCAGUAACACGUAGUCAACCUACCCUAUGGACAAGAAUAAUCUCGGGAAACUGGGCAUAAUUCUUGAUAGAUCAUAAUGCCUGGAAUGGUUUAUGGUUAAAAUGAUUCGUCGCCAUAGGAUGGGACUGCGGCCUAUCAGCUUGUUGGUGAGGUAAUGGCCCACCAAGGCGAUUACAGGUACGGGCUCUGAGAGGAGAAGCCCGGAGAUGGGUACUGAGACACGGACCCAGGCCCUAUGGGGCGCAGCAGGCGAGAAAACUUUGCAAUGUGCGAAAGCACGACAAGGUUAAUCCGAGUGAUUUCUGCUAAAGAAAUCUUUUGCCAGUCAUAAAACCACUGGUGAAUAAGGGGUGGGCAAGUUCUGGUGUCAGCCGCCGCGGUAAAACCAGCACCUCAAGUGGUCAGGAUGAUUAUUGGGCCUAAAGCAUCCGUAGCCGGCUUUGUUAGUUUUCGGUUAAAUCCAUGUGCUCAACGCAUGGGCUGCCGAAAAUACUGCAUGGCUAGGGAGUGGGAGAGGUAGACGGUACUCAGUAGGAAGGGGUAAAAUCCUUUGAUCUAUUGAUGACCACCUGUGGCGAAGGCGGUCUACCAGAACACGUUCGACGGUGAGGGAUGAAAGCUGGGGGAGCAAACCGGAUUAGAUACCCGGGUAGUCCCAGCUGUAAACGAUGCAGACUCGAUGAUGCAUUGGCAUAAUAGCCAGUGCAGUGUCGCAGGGAAGCCGUUAAGUCUGCCGCCUGGGAAGUACGUACGCAAGUAUGAAACUUAAAGGAAUUGGCGGGGGAGCACCACCAAGGGGUGAAGCCUGCGGUUC
rnacentral:rRNA from 1 species